rnacentral:snoRNA from 1 species
CCCCUCUCAGAGUCGCACCUGGAGAGUUUCCACUACUCUACCAGUCUUGGCCUCGGGAGGGAGAGUCAAGCGGAGGCCUACCCAUUCCAUUCCUAGCUUGGCCAGUGGCUAGCAAGUGGAAGCCAAUCUGCUUUGAGU